GACGAACGCUGGCGGCGUGCUUAACACAUGCAAGUCGAACGGUAAGGCCCUUCGGGGUACACGAGUGGCGAACGGGUGAGUAACACGUGGGUGAUCUGCCCUGCACUUCGGGAUAAGCCUGGGAAACUGGGUCUAAUACCGGAUAGGACUCCGGACUGCAUGGUCUGGGGUGGAAAGCUUUUGCGGUGUGGGAUGGGCCCGCGGCCUAUCAGCUUGUUGGUGGGGUGAUGGCCUAGCAAGGCGACGACGGGUAGCCGGCCUGGGAGGGCGACCGGCCACACUGGGACUGCGAUACGGCCCGGACUCCUACGGGAGGCAGCAGUAGGGAAUAUUGCCCAAUGGGCGCAAGCCUGAUGCAGCGACGCCGCGUGAGGGAUGACGGCCUUCGGGUUGUAAACCUCUUUCAGCACCGACGAAGCGCAAGUGACGGUAGGUGCAGAAGAAGGACCGGCCAACUACGUGCCAGCCGCCGCCGUAA
rnacentral:rRNA from 1 species